rnacentral:rRNA from 1 species
UACGUAGGGACCAAGCGUUGUUCGGAUUUACUGGGCGUAAAGGGCGCGUAGGCGGCAUGACAAGUCACUUGUGAAAUCUCCGGGCUUAACUCGGAACGGUCAAGUGAUACUGUCGCGCUAGAGUGCGGAAGGGGCAAUCAGAAUUCUUGGUGUAGCGGUGAAAUGCGUAGAUAUCAAGAGGAAUACCUGAGGUGAAGACGGGUUGCUAGGCCGACACUGACGCUGAAGCGACGAAAGCCAGGGGGAGCAAACGGGG